rnacentral:sRNA from 1 species
GACGCCGUGCCGCUGGCGAGCGAUGCCUGCGGCGGCGGUCAGAAGAUCAGUCAU